CAAAUGGAUUUUUUUAAAUCCGCCGAUUACAACAAUAAUAAUUUUUU
rfam:Schistosoma mansoni strain Puerto Rico chromosome 4, complete genome